GGUCCACCUUUUUGCUCCCUGCCAGACAGUCCAUGAGGACAAACAUUUUUCUCAUGAGGUCAACUAAAUAAUGUGAGGAAGUCAAUAGCUGUGGUUAUAUCUGAACUGUGUCAAGUGGUUGAUAUUAGAAGUAAAAGCCCUUCUUAUCGGAACAUUGCCUUUGCUGGUUUCCCCGCUGGUACCCCGUCGGACAGCUAUGGAAUGCAGGAAAACAGCCAGCGACUGGUAGAAAUGAAUAUAACAACAGUAACUGGAGGAAGAAUUGCAAUUCUGCAAUAAAAUACAUGGCGUGAGUCCGUGAGAGAGGGACGGUAGGAUGCUGCU